rfam:Solanum lycopersicum unplaced genomic scaffold SL2.40sc04351, whole genome shotgun sequence.
CCUGCUAUGCGACUAGCAGUAGCCUAGGGAGACAUGCGUCACUGGUAACGGUGGGGUGUGAAGCUCUUCUGACAACGCUGCCCCCGUAAGGGUGCGUCCAUGCCGUGAGGCGGGGAUGUAAAGGCUCCAAGCAGCAAAGGGGUCGAGGUG